UUAUGGCCAUAUCAGGUUGAAACACCAGUUCCCAUACAAUCAUUGGAGUUGAGCAACAUCAAGCUGGUUCAGUACCUAGUUGGGUGACUGCUUGGGAAUACCAGGUGGUGUAA